ACUACAGACCAGUUUGGGGAGAAACAUGGAGGCCUGCUGGAGGACGGGGAGGUGGAGCAGUUGAGUUCAUAUCGCCUCCACACAUGUAGCACUGAAGCCCAGGUCACCUCCUCCUCCUCCAUCGCUGAACCCAGAAGGCCGGUCUCCUGCAGUCAAAAGACUCUUGGCUUUUUCUCUUUUCUCCUUUUCAGUCUCAUCUCUGAACUUUGGUGUACUCCUGAGUGUGAAAAAACAUGCAGAGGUCUAUCUGAUGGUUUAUAGCUGAAGAGAGGACUGUCAGACUUCAGUGUUUACCUCACCCACCAUUUACUCUUGUUUUUGGUUCGGAUUUCAGUUUUUAAAAAAAAAAUCAUUUUCUCAUUUAAAGCUCUAUCUCCUCUUACGCCUGUGUAGCACUCACAAUUUUAGUCUUCUUUGCCUUGAAUUGAUUUACUGUUCAGUUAUAAAGAGCUUAACUUGCCAUCUGACUCUUUCUUAGAGUUUAUAAGCUUCAAUCCAUCCUUCACAACACCCAGUUACCAUGACAACAGAUGAGCUCAACAAGGAGAUGAACCCAUUUAAAGAAAACACUUGGACUAGCUAUCAAGCAUGGCAGAGGAGAGCUGAUGAUGUGGGCUGCUUUUGCAGACCUGGACACCCCAAACUCAGUCAGAGUGGAGCAUAAAACAACAGUGAGAUCACUGUGUGCACAUGUGUGAGUCAGGCAUAGUGUGUGUGGGUCUGCAUAAACUUGUUUGAAGGUGUCUGUUAUUUGAGAGUGUAUUUGUU